rnacentral:rRNA from 1 species
CGUACCUAAAGUUUGACAUCGCGAAGCUAAGCGAGCUACUCUAAAACAACUUAUAGAGCCAACCCAUCCCUGUUGCAAUAGGGUGGGAAGAUUGUAGAGUAGAGGUGACACGCCUACCGAGCCUAGAGAUAGCUGGUUAUUCAAAAGACGGAUUUAAGUCCAACCUUAAGUUUUCUUAGUCUACCACACAACCCUUAAACUUAAGAGCCAUUCAGAUAAGGUACAGCCUAUUUGAACAAGGACACAACCUACAAUACAGGGUAAUAUCAUACAAUGUGAUAAAGUAGGCCUAAUAGCAGCCACCUUUCAUAAAGCGUCCAAGCUUCCCCAUCAACCAUCCUUAAUUUUAUUACCAACCAACAACCCCCCCUCCCCCACUGAAUGACCCCAUACACGUAUGGAAGACAUUAUACUAGAACUAGUAACAAGAAGCAGAACUUCUCCAAAAUGCAAGCAUAAGCCAAUAAUAAACAUCUUACUGGCACUUACCGCUAUAAUAGUACACUCUUACAAGAAAACUCUACUAAUUAAAACGCUCACCUGACACUAGAGCAUUACUGGAAAGAUUGAAAGGGGGGGAAGGAACUCGGCAAAUACCA